CACGUAGGGGGCGAGCGUUGUCCGGAUUUAUUGGGCGUAAAGAACUCGUAGGCGGUUCGGCAAGUCGGGUGUGAAAUUUCGAGGCUCAACCUCGAAACGCCACUCGAUACUGCUGUGACUGGAGUCCGGUAGAGGAGUGCGGAAUUCCUGGUGUAGCGGUGAAAUGCGCAGAUAUCAGGAAGAACACCCGUGGCGAAAGCGGCUCUCUGGAACGGUACUGACGCUGAGACGCGAAAGCGUGGGGAGCGAACAGG
rnacentral:rRNA from 1 species